rnacentral:rRNA from 1 species
UACAGAGGUCCCAAGCGUUGUUCGGAUUCACUGGGCGUAAAGGGUGCGUAGGUGGUCGGGUAAGUCUGCUGUGAAAUCCCGCAGCUCAACUGCGGAACUGCAUUGGAAACUAUCCGACUAGAGGAAUGGAGGGGAGACUGGAAUUCUCGGUGUAGCGGUGAAAUGCGCAGAUAUCAGGAGGAACACCGAUGGCGAAGGCAGGUCUCUGGGCAUUAACUGACGCUGAGGAGCGAAAGCAUGGGGAGCGAACAGG